GAGUGAUGAUAGAGGGAUGUGAAAGAGGAGAGAGGUAAUGGUUGGACUCUCCCAUGGAGUGAUGAUAGAGGGAUGUGAAAGAGGAGAGAGGUAAUGGUUGUACUCCCCCAUGGAGUGAUGAUAGAGGGAUGUGAAAGAGGAGAGAGGUAAUGGUUGGACUCUCCCAUGGAGUGAUGAUAGAGGGAUGUGAAAGAGGAGAGAGGUAAUGGUUGUACUCCCCCAUGGAGUGAUGAUAGAGGGAUGUGAAAGAGGAGAGAGGUAAUGGUUGGACUCUCCCAUGGAGUGAUGAUAGAGGGAUGUGAAAGAGGAGAGAGGUAAUGGUUGUACUCCCCCAUAGAGUGAUGAUAGAGGGAUGUGAAAGAGGAGAGAGGUAAUGGUUGUACUCCCCCAUAGAGUGAUGAUAGAGGGAUGUGAAAGAGGAGAGAGGUAAUGGUUGGACUCUCCCAUGGAGUGAUGAUAGAGGGAUGUGAAAGAGGAGAGAGGUAAUGGUUGUACUCCCCCAUAGAGUGAUGAUAGAGGGAUGUGAAAGAGGAGAGAGGUAAUGGUUGGACUCUCCCAUGGAGUGAUGAUAGAGGGAUGUGAAAGAGGAGAGAGGUAAUGGUUGUACUCCCCCAUAGAGUGAUGAUAGAGGGAUGUGAAAGAGGAGAGAGGUAAUGGUUGUACUCCCCCAUAGAGUGAUGAUAGAGGGAUGUGAAAGAGGAGAGAGGUAAUGGUUGUACUCCCCCAUGGAGUGAUGAUAGAGGGAUGUGAAAGAGGAGAGAGGUAAUGGUUGUACUCCCCCAUGGAGUGAUGAUAGAGGGAUGUGAAAGAGGAGAGAGGUAAUGGUUGGACUCUCCCAUGGAGUGAUGAUAGAGGGAUGUGAAAGAGGAGAGAGGUAAUGGUUGUACUCCCCCAUGGAGUGAUGAUAGAGGGAUGUGAAAGAGGAGAGAGGUAAUGGUUGUACUCCCCCAUAGAGUGAUGAUAGAGGGAUGUGAAAGAGGAGAGAGGUAAUGGUUGUACUCCCCCAUGGAGUGAUGAUAGAGGGAUGUGAAAGAGGAGAGAGGUAAUGGUUGUACUCCCCCAUAGAGUGAUGAUAGAGGGAUGUGAAAGAGGAGAGAGGUAAUGGUUGUACUCCCCCAUGGAGUGAUGAUAGAGGGAUGUGAAAGAGGAGAGAGGUAAUGGUUGUACUCCCCCAUGGAGUGAUGAUAGAGGGAUG